GAUAGCUCAGUUGGUAGAGCGGUGAACUGCAAUACAGGUUUAGUUUAGGCAAGCGGUCCCUGCUUCGAUUCCGGUUC
rnacentral:tRNA from 1 species